rnacentral:rRNA from 1 species
GACAGAGGGUGCAACCGUUGUUCGGAAUUACUGGGCGUAAAGCGCGUGUAGGCGGCUCGGAUAGUCGGGUGUGAAAGCCCUGGGCUCAACCCAGGAAGUGCACUCGAUACUGCCGAGCUGGAGUCCCGGAGAGGAUGGCGGAAUUCUCGGUGUAGAGGUGAAAUUCGUAGAUAUCGAGAGGAACACCUGUGGCGAAGGCGGCCUUCUGGACGGUGACUGACGCUGAGACGCGAAAGCGUGGGGAGCAAACAGG